UCAACUCAGAAUUCUUAGAAAGUCCCCAAGUUUUAAUAAGAUAUCUUUUAUUAGACAGCCUAGUUGUCACAGAGGUUGUUAAUUGAACACUAUUUAUUUCUCAUUACCCCAAUAAUAAUCUGUCACUUGUGAUGAACUUUAAAACCCUCCUGUUCCUAUAAGUCCUUCCUCUGAAGUGCCUGAGCUGAGAGAAUAGGCAGCACCCCUGUGAGUAAUAACAUUCUCUAUUCUUCAAGUAAGUAAUGCUACCUUCUUUCUUCCCCAAAUCAUUUUCUUUGAAGAUCUAUUUUAUAAUUCCAGACUUUCAUGAUGUCGUGAAAUUGUUUCUUAUCUCUUUCUUUCUUUCUUUUUUUUUUUUUUUUUUCCUUCUGCAGAGUCCAGAAUCAGAAGGAAUGGCAUAGAGGAGAAUCAGAAUGUAUUUCAGGAGGAGAGACUUGGCUCUAAUGAUGUCCAAAGCAAUAUUAUGAGGAGAAGCCAAGUUUAUUAAUGAGCAAGACACAAUAUAAAAUCCAUCUUAUUGACCUGAAAGAUCAAGAUGACUGAAAUGUAUUCCAAUUUAUUUGCUAAAUCGAGAGAUUGAUUGUCUUACAGCAAUAUUUUGUCUGUGUACCCUCAGCCCAGCAUUUAUGAUAAUUUAUUUUUAAGAAUUAGCGCAUAAAUAUAAUGUCAAGUCUUUUUGUCAA